UUGAAUCAACAGACAAUGUUUUGUGAAUGAAAAAGCGUUUACUCUAUGCUUGCUUGGUGAAGUGUUCGUGAAAGUCUGGUGGAUUUUUUUUUACUCGUUCCAGUUGCAUCAAGCGGCCAAAGUGUUCUCAAUAAAAACCGUAAGCUGUGAGGAGAGUGAGUGAAGGGGAGAGGGAGAGAGAUUGAAAAAAAGUGCAGACGAAAAAAAAAAAUCGCUAACUUUUUAUAUAAAAUGUGCUACAUAGAAAGUGGUGAUUUUGCAACCAGAUUGCAUGUGUAUCGUUGAUGCGCGUACCUAAAGUCAAUAUUGAAGCUGCGAAAUAUACAUAAGGACAACGGUGGUGGCGUCGACAACGAAAUCAAAGACGGUGGUUUUUUCAUGUCACUCUCUCUCUCUCUCUAUAUAUAUAUAAAAGUUGAAAUGACUUCGCCGAGGGUGGCGGCGAUAGAGAGCGUAUCGUAGUCAGUCUUAAGAUAAUUCUGUGUGUAUGUAUGAGAAAGAAAGGCAACCGAAAGUGAAAGUCGAUUGUGUGUAUGUUAUUCUUUUUUUCUCGUCUUGUUCCUUUGCAAGAAGGGAAAAAUGCACAUGAAAAUUGUCGGUACAGAAUUUUUUUUCUCAGUCAGAAUGCGAAAACGAGGUUACGAGUGCUAAACUCCGGUGUAAAGUGAAUUGCUUGUGAAACAUCGAAGUGUGGUGAAAAAUAGACACAAUUCUCCCGGCUUGGAUUGUUAUCGAUAUAAGGAUAUGUGUUUGUUUUCUGUGUGUGAGAAAGAAUCGGGUUGAAAAGUGUGUGCUUGGAAAAUGUGUGUCGGCAAACCCGAAACGACAACCAAAAUGGAAAUUAUUAUAUCGAUGCCGAGACGUAAUCUGUUUGGGAAAGCUCUUAUUUGUAUACGACAUUGAAUAUGUUUACGAGCUCGUUGGUUGUGUGUACGUGACAAGGGUUUCGGAAAAAUGCCGGCCACUUGCCUUAUGUUACAUACUUAUGUUUUUCCUUGGAGGUCAAACCAUUCGUCGCAUUCAACAUCAUCAUCGUCGCAGUCGUCGUCGUCGUCCUCGUUGUUGUCUUCAUCGUCGUUCGACGGUUUUUGUUGUGUGUUUGUUUGUGUGUGAAUGAAUGAGAUGAGAGAGUGUUCGCAUUUAUAAGCUGAUAAUGGAGCAUCUAUAUACAAGCGAGUAUAGCCGCAAGGAUUUAGGCCUUCAUCGCGUCUCAAUGAAUGGUCUUUGUGCGUUGGUUGCUUGGUUGGCUGCUCGAUUCGGUUCGGUGCCUGUGGAAUAUCAUAUCUCCCGUUCGUCGGAUGUGUGAAUUUAUUUGAACUGUAAAUGAAAGAAGACAAACGACCCACCGACACAAAACAUAUGUUUUGUCUGCCAUUUCGACAGCACAGCGAAAAGUAUACACAAAACACACACACACACAACACGCUGUUCCCAUUACACACCAUCAAUGCGACCAUUCCAAAGGAGAUUGAAUAGAUUAUUUGCUUACAUAAUACAAGUCCUUUUCUUGUGCAUUUACCAAUGCUUCUAACGUUGAUAAAGUCAUCCAGUUUUCACGCGUAAUAACCACACCAUUCCACAGCACAAUGUUGUGUGCGUAUGUGGCUUCUUUGAAUAUGGACCGUUGUGUAUUGUGUGCUUUGUGUCUGAAGGAAGCGUGAGUUUUAAAUGGGACGCAAUCGUUUCUCGUCUGGUUCUUUUUGUUUGUGUGAGAAAUAUUUUUUUGCCUUCAGCUUGUCUGUGCCAUUCUGUGGUGUCAAUGAUCUGAUUAUGACAUGCAAAUACGGUUAUAAUUUGAUUUCUUCCGUAAUGCAAACGAGAUAUGGGCUAAAGCGAUGAUACAACGGCUUGUUGGGCUUUUUUUUGUAUUAAACAAAAAAAAUGCACUUUGACUCAUUUUCGUCAAAAUUAAUUAUUAAGAACUCGACGAACGUUAAAGAGGCUUCCUUAAUAGGCGAACAACGAUUUUUCGCCGUUGAAAUGACAUGUUCCCAGCCUAUUCAUUAAACGCCGCGGGAGAGCAAAGUUUUCAUGUUAACACAUAAAAGGUGCUAAAAUGUAAAACCAGUUACUUGGCGCAAAAAGGCGUUAGUUUUGAAUUAUAGCACUUAAUAAGUUUAAAGACUCGAAUAAUAGAGAGAGGAUGUGUGCCGUGUUUUUGGUGUGUACGUGUUCGUGUUGGUGUUGUUUUGUUUGUGUAGAUGUGUGCUUUAUUGCUUGGAAUAGAGUGUGCAAAUUUAAAAACUAAGAGAGCAAGAAUUUCCUUUCGUUUUUCACCUCCCCAUUCCACCCCGUUACUGUCACGAUAAAUACUUUCUCGCGUAACGACGGCAUCUAUUUCGUUGUGUGUACGGAUGGAACGGUACUUCAGAGAAUUUAUCUAAUGGUACACACGUGGAAAAUGACUACGUUAUCUGUUCCGUUUCAACUGAAGAGUGAAAAUUAUAUAUAUAUAUAUACGUACACUACACACCACCGAAAUAUGUUUGUGAUGAGUGCCCAUGUUUGUGGCAGCAUCGCAGCCGCAUAUACAUAUACAGUUGCUAACGAUAAAUUAUGUGCGGAACCGAAUUUCCUAAAUGGAAUAUUAAAUUUAUUGUAAAUGUGAAAAUGUUUUCCAUUCUUCCUGCCUUCGUGUUCGAGCGAAAGAGAGACAGAGUAUGUGAAAUGGUCGGAUUGAUGAUAUGCCAACGGUGCCAUGCACACGAUGCUCACUCACUCACUCCUUCUCGCUCUCCCAAUGUGGCAAUAGUUUCAUGUGAUGCGGUUUUCUUGUGUGUGAGCGCGCGCGCUAAGAAUGUAAAGAGGCGGUCUCUCUUUUGCUCUAACCGAAUUUCAAUUCGAGCAUUUAAAAUCCAUCCAUCUAGCACACCAGCUGAAAUGGGUAACACACAAACUAAACAAACUCCAAUCCCACAUAGAGAAGAAUGUGUGAGAGAGUGAGAGUGUCUAAUAAAUACUAUGCCGUAUCGCUAAAGUUGUGCUUCCUUCCAUUCUCGUGUAGAGAACGCGCGCGCGCGCGCGUCACACAGAGAGACACCACAUAGGAAAAUAUUUAUUGUGGGCUUUUAUGCGGUUUAAUUGGUUUUUUGGUAAAUCAUGCCGAAAAGUUGUACGGCUUUUGUGCGAUUCGAUGGGUUUGGCGUUUUGAUCAACAAGUGCGGUAUUGUGUGCUUCGCAAUAUAACGGAACUAGUGUGUGUGUGUAGAGUCGAGUUCAAUCUCAACUAAAAACAAAUUAAAAGCCAAAAAUGGGAAUGAAUCAUUCAACAAUAAGAUAAAUUGAUGCUCAUUUGAGCCAAAAAUCACGUCCCGUUAAAAUUGUCAAGCCGACGGCAAAACCAACCAGCGCGACUUCGUUGUGCACAGCAUUGAAAUACCAAUUUCUACGGUUAUGUUAAUUGAAUUGUCGCCAAUUUAUUUAGUUGCCGUCACUGCCUCUGCCUGCUGUUGCUGCUUUUGCUGGUGGUGACGAGAAAAAAAGACGUGCAAAUCACAUUUCUAUUUUUCAAUAAUUUCCGAUUAAAUCUGCAUCUUUCUUGAAAUUUCGUCGAAAAUCGGCAAACUCAAUUCGGGCAAGUGGUUUGACUGCUUUUUUUCGUUCACGUUGUUUAAGCUGCAGGCGACGAACCGCAGAAGAGAUGAAGAAAAAAAAUCGCUUUUUCCAUUUUCUGUAUCUGUUUCGCCAAUGCAUUUACUCCUUUUGUGGAUUGCAACGAAUGUAAAACUAACGGUAAAUUCAUUUGUUUUGUAUUAACGAACGAACGAAAGCGCAUGUACCACACCAUCUCUCUCCGUCGAUCGGAUGAUGAACCAUAGCAUUCAUUAUACAGCAAGCAGAAGAAAGAAGAAGAACAGAUGGAAGAAAAGAGAGAAAUAUCGCUAAUCAAGCCUUCAUUUGGCCGCAACCAGUUUCAAGUCAAUUUCACUUUGAUACAUGAAUUAUUCAGUUCCAUAAUUUAUAUAUAUUCGGCCAUAAAACAGGCAAGAAAAACGCGAAACAAAGAAAACACGACAAAGGCGACGACGACGUUGGAACAACAGCAACAAAAAAGUGGCCCUUCAGAGACCCGAAAUGGGUGAUAUGCAAACAAAUGAAUUUAUUUAUUACACUGGCCAGCCCGUAGAAAACUCUCUCAAUAUGAAAUUGAACACAAGAAAAACCACUUUUAUCGGCCCAAUCAUUUGAAUGCAACAGAUUUUUAGCACACACGGUUUUUUUUUCUUUCGUUCGCUCUCCUCGCAUCGUUUUCUUGGGCGCAUUUAAUAAAGAUCCGCAUGCACUUCGUUUCAUCGAUUCGAAAAUUGGCACACACGAAAAUUGGCAAACCAGAAUAUUACAAACAAAGUAACGAAAAACGACGCUUAAAAUGCGAUAAAUAAGCAGUAAUAACAAUAAUCACACAUUUUUCUCUCUUCGUCUGCGACUAAAUACCAUUUUUAGGCAUUUUCAUUCUUUUUAUUCGAGAUAUUUAUUCGCCGGAGAGUAGCGAGCACACUACGGUGCAUGCCGUUGAUUACAGAUUUUUAUGGCCAUUUAUAUAAUCUAAGAUGAAAGCUGAAUGGCAAAGAGCAAACUGACUACGUUAUUGACAAAGACUUCGAAAAUGGAUUCGAUUUUUACUGUUUUAUUGAAUUGUUUGGCCCUGUGCAACCAACCGAUUCGCCGAUUUAAUUUUUCAUUCUAUAUAUAAAUCUGUGCAGUACAAACCAUUAAAUGCUAUGUAUCUCUCCGUCUGUGUGUUACUCUGGAAUUGUUCGUUCGUGUCUGAAAUUUGUGUGAAACAUUUCCGAAAGAAAAAAAUUAUACACAAAGCAAACGACGAAGAGAAACAGAUUUAAGGUGCACCAUCAAAAUGCGGUGAAAGUUUUCGACAAAAACUCCGACCGAAACGAAGAAAAGAAAACCUUUGUUUUCGCAAUUGCAUUUGAUGCGUCAUUUAAAGUAAUAACAGGCCAUCGGUGUUUCAACGGAUUUCAAUUACGUCUAAAAAGAGAGAAAAGAGAAUGCGUCAACGUUGAAAAUUGCCAAAAUGAGACUAUUUGGGCUAAUGAUUGCAACGAUAACAAAAAACCGAUCGCUAAGUUUAUGCUGAAAUGUCGACAGAAGAAAGUUUCGCUUUUGCCUGGCAUGCGAAUUUAUAUUCAAAACAGGAUUCGACUCGAAUCAAACUGAUGAUUUCAAUUGACGUCUCUGAAAUGGAUAAUUUUCAAAGGUUCACUCAAAUGAACGUUUAUUCCAAUCGAUUUUGAGAUUAAGUUCACCAUUUGAUUCCAAUUUAAAGAUCUCUUCAAUUGCGCUUGACUUUUUGAACCAGAAAUAUGCUGCACAACAGAAAAAAGGAAAAGAAAAACGCCAAGAAGAAAGCAAGUCUUUAGGGCGAUAUUUAAAAUAGAAUCGUUUUUCUUUCGGCUAUUCGUUUGAAUGGCGUGCUAUUCAAAGAUUUCAAGAAUUGCGUCUGCACCAACAAAAAUGCCAUCCAACGCAAUGUCUAAAUCAGAUGCGAAACUUGAACGGAAAAAGUUGCCAAAAUACACCAACAAAACAUCUCAAAUGAAUCAAUUUUUCUCUGGUCGAUUUGGGCUAUUUUGGAUGUAUCGGCGAGAAGGCGGGCACACAAUAAAUAAUUUGACAUUGGGCGAGAAAAAAAAGUGACUAUAAAAUCCGCAAGAAAAACAUGAUGAACAAUGACGAGAAAUCGGAACGCAAUAUUCUUAGAUCUGGGUCGUUCUGGUGUCGCAGAAAUUGUGUUUGUCACGAAAAUUACGAAGAGAGAAUGGUGUAACAAAAAGUGGUGAAACAAUCGCUUUCUUGAAUUACUUAAUCGCGACGUGGUCGCCGCCGUCGCUACCACCACCGCUACCGUUGUCGUCUUUCUUUAUUCAAAUAGCAAUUUUUCCACAUCCGUAUAAUUAGUCGUUGGGUGGAAAAAUGUCUUUGCAACUGUCUCUCUUUUUCAAAAAUUUGAUUCGGAAUUUUUUUUCAAUUCGGGAGUUUUGUCAUUUAUGAGAAUGGUGAUGGUGACGGAUUGUUUAAUGCACGCAAAACCGAUCCAGAAUACAAACGGGGCGGCGGUCUUGUUUUUGCGGCAUUUGAUGUGAAUUCCAUUUUGCCAUUGACAGUGAUAUAAUCGAGUGUUAGUGUGAGUAUGAGUGAGUGAGUGAGAGAGGACGGACAAAAAAUGCGUUGCAAAUGUGUCUUUAUUGAGGCUGGUUAAGGAUUUACGGGGGGGGGGGGGGGGAAAAUACGAGCACAUUGUUUGAUAGACGUCAAACGACGGCAACAACCAUUACCAGAAUUUUUAUGAUUAUUUGUUGUGCUGUGAUAGCAGAAAAACGGAGCGCGCGUCACCCCCGUCGAACUUCAAGUGAAAGUCAAAACAAGCGAACGCCACACUCAUUCUCAUCCUCCAAACAACGAUGAGGACAAGGACGACUACGGCGACAUCCAUAUCCAAGGAAUGAAUGUGAAAUACACAUUCAACAGAUGUCUCAAAUAAAAAUCGCACCAGCAAAAUUUUUUCUUUGCUUUUUCACACAGGAAAUCCGCGUCCCAUUGGCUAUAGAAAUGUACAACGGCGUAUUCAUACAUAGUAUCUAUCUCGGUAACAGGCUCACAUUCAAUCUCGUUUUUUAGCUUAUAAAAUAAAUCGAAUGAGCACAGGUGGUGGUGCAGGGUGAAAAACGGUAUAGAGCAAAAAAAAACGUCGCUUGAAUUUCUCAUAAUAAUCACAUAGACAUUUGACGAGGAUGGUUUUUCUUUCUUUAGCCCGAAAUUUUGACCUUGAUGUGAAUUUGAAACACAGUCGCGUGAAUUGAAAUGUCGGUGGCGAUGAUGGUGGUGGUGUUGAGAUGAUGAUGAUGAUGAUGAAAUCAGUUCAGCUGGGUGUGAGAACGGAACGUGCUGUCUAGCAAAGUCGAACGCCGCCUUAUGUUGAGCCGGCAAUAUUUACUUGUCAAACCACUUACAUUGUACAUGGUAUGGUAAGCAUAUUUGAAGGUAAAACCAUUUAAAAUUAAUAAAUCAAUAGCGAACGAUCGGGCUACAGACGGCAGACACCUUUGGCACUGAGUGUAUGGCUUUUUCAUCUCGACGGCCCCAACAAACACAUCACAAACCAUGAUGGACAGCUCCAAUAUCAAAGACAUUACACACUAAGAUGUGUCAGACGUUCUUAUUUCAUGAAUAUAAAUUCAAUGUAAGAUCAAAUAUUAUGGGGCCAAAGUAAUGAUGAAAAUGUACAAUAUAUUAUAUACCAAAAAAUAAAAGACAACUCGUUGAAAGAGACGAGUCUCAAGGUA